rnacentral:rRNA from 1 species
GACGAACGCUGGCGGCGUGCCUAAUACAUGCAAGUCGAGCGAAUUUUUGGGAGCUUGCUCCCAAAAUUAGCGGCGGACGGGUGAGUAACACGUGGGCAACCUGCCUAUAAGACUGGGAUAACUUCGGGAAACCGGAGCUAAUACCGGAUAAUUCACAUCUACUCAUGUAGAUGUGCUGAAAGACGGUUUACGCUGUCACUUAUAGAUGGGGCCCGCGGCGCAUAGCUAGUUGGUGAGGUAACGGCUCACCAAGGCCACGAUGCGCAGCCGACCUGAGAGGGUGAUCGGCCACACUGGGACUGAGACACGGCCCAGACUCCUACGGGAGGCAGCAGUGGGGAAUCUUGCGCAAUGCGCGAAAGCGUGACGCAGCAACGCCGCGUGGGGAAG